GAUGAACGCUGGCGGCGUGCCUAAUACAUGCAAGUCGAGCGAACGGACGAGAAGCUUGCUUCUCUGAUGUUAGCGGCGGACGGGUGAGUAACACGUGGAUAACCUACCUAUAAGACUGGGAUAACUUCGGGAAACCGGAGCUAAUACCGGAUAAUAUUUUGAACCGCAUGGUUCAAAAGUGAAAGACGGUCUUGCUGUCACUUAUAGAUGGAUCCGCGCUGCAUUAGCUAGUUGGUAAGGUAACGGCUUACCAAGGCAACGAUGCAUAGCCGACCUGAGAGGGUGAUCGGCCACACUGGAACUGAGACACGGUCCAGACUCCUACGGGAGGCAGCAGUAGGGAAUCUUCCGCAAUGGGCGAAAGCCUGACGGAGCAACGCCGCGUGAGUGAUGAAGGACUUCGGAUCGUAAAACUCUGUUAUUAGGGAAGAACAUAUGUGUAAGUAACUGUGCACAUCUUGACGGUACCUAAUCAGAAAGCCACGGCUAACUACGU
rnacentral:rRNA from 1 species